ensembl:rRNA 5S_rRNA 5S ribosomal RNA
GUGUACAGCCAUACCACCCUGAAUACACCUGAUUUCAGAAGCCAAGCAGGAGUCAAGGCUGCUUAGUCCUGGGAUGGGAGACCACCUUGGGAUACCAGAUGCCCUAGGCU